rnacentral:misc_RNA from 1 species
GAAAUGCGAUAAGUAAUGUGAAUUGCAGAAUUCAGUGAAUCAUCGAAUCUUUGAACGCACCUUGCGCUCCUUGGUAUUCCUUGGAGCAUGCCUGUUUGAGUAUCAUGAAAUCUUCAAAGUAAAUCUUUUGUUAACUCAAUUGGUUUCUACUUUGGUAUUGGAGGUCUUUGCAGCUUCACACCUGCUCCUCUUUGUUCAUUAGCUGGAUCUCAGGGUUAUGCUUGGUUCCACUCGGCGUGAUAAGUUAUCUAUCGCUGAGGACACUGUAAAAGGUGGCCAAGGUAAAUGCAGAUGAACCGCUUCUAAUAGUCCAUUGACUUGGACAAUACUUUUAUGAUCUGAUCUCAAAUCAGGUAGGACUACCCGCUGAACUUAAGC